CCUACGGGGGGCAGCAGUGAGGAAUAUUGGUCAAUGGACGAGAGUCUGAACCAGCCAAGUAGCGUGAAGGAUGACUGCCCUAUGGGUUGUAAACUUCUUUUAUAAAGGAAUAAAACGAGGCACGUGUGCCUUUUUGCAUGUACUUUAUGAAUAAGGAUCGGCUAACUCCGUGCCAGCAGCCGCGGUAAUACGGAGGAUCCGAGCGUUAUCCGGAUUUAUUGGGUUUAAAGGGAGCGUAGAUGGGUUGUUAAGUCAGUUGUGAAAGUUUGCGGCUCAACCGUAAAAUUGCAAUUGAUACUGGCAGUCGUGAGUACAGUUGAGGUAGGCGGAAUGCGUGGUGUAGCGGUGAAAUGCUUAGAUAUCACGAAGAACCCCAAUUGCGAAGGCAGCUUACUAAACUGUGACUGACAUUGAUGCUCGAAAGUGUGGGUAUCAAACAGGAUUAGAUACCCUGGUAGUC
rnacentral:rRNA from 1 species